AGGGAUGUAGCGCAGCUUGGUAGCGCGUUUGUUGGGUACAAAAUGUCACAGGUUCAAAUCCUGUCAUCCCUA
rnacentral:tRNA from 1 species